rnacentral:rRNA from 1 species
ACACGACUACAUUAGAUACCCCCGUAGUCCCAGCCCUAAACGAUGCGCGUUAGGUGUAUCGGUGACCACGAGUCACCGAGGUGCCGAAGGGAAACCGUGAAACGUGCCGCCUGGGAAGUACGGUCGCAAGGCUGAAACUUAAAGGAUUGGCGGGGGAGCACCACAACGGGUGGAGCCUGCGGUUUAAUUGGACUCAACGCCGGGAAGCUCACCGGAUAAGACAGCGGAAUGAUUGCCGGGCUGAAGACCCUGCAUGACCAGCUG